UCAUAUGUACAUGCCUAUAGCAUUAAUGCACCAUAUCCCAUUAGAACUCCAUAAGUAAGCAUGCUUGGGCUAGAGUAGUACUAGGAUGGCUGACCUUUCGGGAAUUCCUAGUGUUUUACAUGCC
rnacentral:rRNA from 1 species